UGCAAGUCGAGCGGAGAUUUGAAAAGCUUGCUUUUCAAAUCUUAGCGGCGGACGGGUGAGUAACACGUGGGCAACCUGCCCUUGAGACGGGGAUAACUCCGGGAAACCGGAGCUAAUACCGGAUAACACAUAUCUUCGCAUGAGGAUAUGUUAGAAGGUGGCUUUUAGCUACCACUCAAGGAUGGGCCCGCGGCGCAUUAGCUAGUUGGUGAGGUAACGGCUCACCAAGGCGACGAUGCGUAGCCGACCUGAGAGGGUGAUCGGCCACACUGGGACUGAGACACGGCCCAGACUCCUACGGGAGGCAGCAGUAGGGAAUCUUCCGCAAUGGACGAAAGUCUGACGGAGCAACGCCGCGUGAGUGAUGAAGGUUUUCGGAUCGUAAAGCUCUGUUGUUAGGGAAGAACAAGUACCUGUUAAAUAAGCAGGUACCUUGACGGUACCUAACCAGAAAGCCACGGCUAACUACGUGCCAGCAGCCGCGGUAAUACGUAGGUGGCAAGCGUUGUCCGGAAUUAUUGGGCGUAAAGCGCGCGCAGGCGGUUCCUUAAGUCUGAUGUGAAAGCCCACGGCUCAACCGUGGAGGGUCAUUGGAAACUGGGGAACUUGAGUGCAGAAGAGGAGAGCGGAAUUCCACGUGUAGCGGUGAAAUGCGUAGAGAUGUGGAGGAACACCAGUGGCGAAGGCGGCUCUCUGGUCUGUAACUGACGCUGAGGCGCGAAAGCGUGGGGAGCGAACAGGAUUAGAUACCCUGGUAGUCCACGCCGUAAACGAUGAGUGCUAAGUGUUAGAGGGUUUCCGCCCUUUAGUGCUGCAGCAAACGCAUUAAGCACUCCGCCUGGGGAGUACGGUCGCAAGACUGAAACUCAAAGGAAUUGACGGGGACCCGCACAAGCGGUGGAGCAUGUGGUUUAAUUC
rnacentral:rRNA from 2 species